AAAAUGCUCCAAAUUUUUUGAAAUUCUAGCAUAACGAUGAGCAACUUUGGUAGAUGUGGAAUUUGGCGUUGGAAUUUCCAAAAUGUCUGCCGUUUCCAUGGAAACAAUGCAAAAAGGUCAAAAUGCUCCAAAAACUUCAGGGUUUGGUGAAUAACUUUGGUAUGCUUGAACUUAAAAUCAUCAAAUUUUUAUACAAUAUAGUUGUCCACUAUAUACAGGUUUUGAAUGAUUAUGACAAUCAUUGGAACUACUCUGUUACCAUGGAUACAGGAUCAAAUAUUUCAAAAAUUUCAAAAUGCUCCAAAAUUGAUGAAACUUAAUAUUAUUGUUGACUGCCAAGUCUGGAUGAGACUUUUGACUUUGGAAUUUCCAAAAUGGCCACCGUUGCCAUGGAAACUGCAAAAAAGUCAAAAA
rnacentral:lncRNA from 1 species